GACAGAGGUGCCAAGCGUUAGGCGGAAUUACUGGGCGUAAAGGGCGCGUAGGCGGCCUUCUAAGUCAGACGUGAAAUCCCCCGGCUUAACCUGGGAACUGCGUCUGAUACUGGGAGGCUUGAGUAUGGGAGAGGGAUGUAGAAUUCCAGGUGUAGCGGUGAAAUGCGUAGAUAUCUGGAGGAAUACCGGUGGCGAAGGCGGCAUCCUGGACCAUAACUGACGCUGAGGCGCGAAAGCGUGGGGAGCGAACAGG
rnacentral:rRNA from 1 species